UACGGAGGGUGCGAGCGUUGUCCGGAAUCACUGGGCGUAAAGGGCGCGUAGGCGGCGCGAGCAGUCGAUCGUGAAAGUCCGGAGCUCAACUCCGGAUCGGCGGUCGAUACUCUCGUGCUUGAGCACUGUAGAGGCAGAUGGAAUUCCGGGUGUAGCGGUGGAAUGCAUAGAGAUCCGGAAGAACACCGGUGGCGAAGGCGGUCUGCUGGGCAGUUGCUGACGCUGAGGCGCGACAGCGUGGGGAGCAAACAGG
rnacentral:rRNA from 1 species